rnacentral:rRNA from 1 species
CUUACCUAGAGUUGCGGGCUUUGCCUGCCAUCUCUUACCCAUGUCUUUUGAGUACCUUACGUUUCCUCGGCGGGUCCGCCCGCCGACUGGACAAUUUAAACCACUUGCAGUUGCAAUCAGCGUCUGAAAAAACUUAAUAGUUACAACUUUCAACAACGGAUCUCUUGGUUCUGGCAUCGAUGAAGAACGCAGCGAAAUGCGAUAAGUAGUGUGAAUUGCAGAAUUCAGUGAAUCAUCGAAUCUUUGAACGCACAUUGCGCCCCUUGGUAUUCCAUGGGGCAUGCCUGUUCGAGCGUCAUUUGUACCUUCAAGCCUUGCUUGGUGUUGGGUGUUUGUCUCGCCUCUGCGCGUAGACUCGCCUCAAAACAAUUGGCAGCCGGCGUAUUGAUUUCGGAGCGCAGUACAUCUCGCGCUUUGCACUCAGAACGACGACGUCCAAAAGUACAUUUUUACACUCUUGACCUCGGAUCAGGUAGGGAUACCCGCUGAACUUAAGCAUAUCAAUAAGCGGAGGA